UCCCUAUGGGGUGCAGCAGUCGCGAAAACUUUGCAAUACACGAAAGUGUGACAAGGCUAUCCCGAGUGCCAUCCGCUGAGGAAGGCUUUUACCCAGUAUAAAUAGCUGGGAGAAUAAGGAGAGGGCAAGUCUGGUGUCAGCCGCCGCGGUAAUACCAGCUCUCCGAGUAGUGUGGAUGUUUAUUGGGCCUAAAGCAUCCGUAGCUUGCUAAGCAAGUCCCCUGUUAAAUCCACCGAUUCAAUCGUUGGAUUGCGGGGGAUACUGUUUGGCUAGGGGACGGGAGAGGCCGACGGUAUUUCCGGGGUAGGGGUGAAAUCCUAUAAUCCCUGGAGGACCACCAGUGGCGAAGGCGGUCAACUAGAACGCGCCUGACGGUGAUGGACGAAAGCUGGGGGAGCGAACCGGAUUAGACACCCGGGUAGUCCCAGCUGUAAACGAUGCGGGCUAGGUGUUGGUGCAGCUACGUGCUGUUCCAGUGCCGCAGAGAAGUCGUUAAGCCCGCCGCUUGGGAAGUACGGCCGCAAGGCUGAAACUUAAAGGAAUUGGCGGGGGAGCACCACAAGGGGUGAAGCUUGCGGUUUAAUUGGAUUCAACGCCGGAA
rnacentral:rRNA from 1 species